rnacentral:lncRNA from 1 species
AAGAAUUGGAGUGGGGGGUGACCUUAGGGUGGGGGGUGACCUUAGGGUGGGGGGCGCUUCAAGCUAAGACUGGACCGGACCUUCACUGAGGACAUUGUAAGGGGGCUGCUCCCCAGGCCGACCCCUGAGGCCCGUGCGGCUCUGAACUUCUGCAGCUCCGGUGCCUCGGAGCGGGCACCUUGUUUUAGAGGCAAAGAACAGAGGGCUGGUGCGUUGUCCCCGGUGGAGAGCGCGGGGUCGGGGGCAGCAGCAGGGAAGCUCGGCCGCCUGGGGGCCGCAGACACGGGCCAGCUCCGGGGACCCCAGAGAGCCGGGGUUCUCUUUCAAAGGGGAAGGAAGCUCGGGGCGGAGUGGGGGCUGCUUUUCUGGAGCUGACUCAGCUCGGACCACGCUGGCCGGAAGCCCUCCGAGGUCACGGAAUGCGCGUCCUUGGCCGUGAUGUGCCCGAGCUCCGGGGGCUCCCGUCCUUCCCCCCAGCUUCCCCUGACCGGGCCGGGGAGACAGGCUUAGUGGAAUCCUCCAGUUGCCCGGUUAGGCGUUUUCCUCCCCUCGGCUUCUGGUCACUUCAGGGACUCUGGGAAAGCGGAGCACUCCCCAUCGCCUCGGUCCUUCGGGCCCAGAUUUCCGGCCAGAGUCGCGGGGCCCCGGGACAGUUCCAGUGUCCUCCAGUCCCUGAGGCAGGCCGCCCGGCUUCCCCGGUGAUGUUCUGGAAGACUCUAGAUCAGCACCAGGAAAGCCAAAGGGCACUUGGGGAUCCCCUCUGACAAAGACCGUGCUAGAUCAGCCACAACUCCCAGGGCCCUGAGUGGGGGGGGGGAGCGUUGGGGGUCUGCGGCUGGUUCUGCCGUUGCUCGGUUCGGGGGUUCUCGGUGUGACCCAUAGCGGCCCCUGGAGCUCCCUGCCGAGCCUUUUUGCAGACUCCCGGGACCUGGCGCAGCCCCCUGCCCUCGGGAGUAGCCCGUUAGCCAUCUUUGCCCACACCCCUAGGCCCCCCUCUGUGCCCCUUGGAGUACUUGGAGCCAACGGUCCGGGGCUUCUCCCGGCUCCUCCUCGGCUUUCUCUUCCGGGGCAAUUUCAAAGUUCUGCCCCCUCAGUUGCUUUCCUCUGGACGCUCUCCAGCCAGACCUGCCCACAGUGCUCCGGGGGGUCUGGCCAGAGCAGAAUGGGGCUGGAGUCCUGCGCUCCGGGCCUCUCCUAGCGGCCAGAUCGGCCCCCGACUCAUCCCGGCUCGGAAGCCCCCGGGGUCCGCAGGGAGUUUUUGGCCUGCUCUGCCGCCCGGCCCGGCCUGCGGGCUCCUGUAAAGUUUGAACCCAAAUGCCGGCUUUCCUUCGGUCCUUAGACUUGGCCCGGUUCCGGUUCUUUUCAAGCCUUUUCUUGGACCCACACGAUCACCCUUUUCUGAGCCGGCCGAACCCAGGGGCCUGGGGCCCUUCCAGGGGGACACUGCCCUUCCCCCGGUGCUGAAGGCGCCAGCCCUUCUCAUCGCAUCCGCGGCUCUUUCCAAGGACUUGCCCAAGUUCUUUCCAAACCCGGGCAGUGACCGACGCCGGCAGCGUCCUCCCGGACUUUAGGCCUGCCUGCGGAGAGUGGGUGGGCUGGGGUCAGGCAGCUGCGCGCUGCCCAGGGCCCAGCCCCUCUCUUCCCAUCCCCGGGGCCUCUCGGGGGCUGGUGAUCACGUCGACCUCCUGUCAGGGCCCUCCGGGCAGUUUGGGGGCGCUCGGGGGCCCCUCGUCCUGCCUCACGCCUCCUCCCAGCUCUCUGAGGCCGUCCUCCCGCCCCCCAGGAAGCCCCGACCUUUGUCCCCCUGGUGGCCAAGCCCGGCGCUGUCCCUGCCCUUCCCUGGUGCCCCCGCUCCCGGUGCAGGCCUUGGUCUCGUCCCCAGGUCUGUGUGGGGCCGCUCCUGCUUCUCCCCUCCUCCGGGGCUUCCCUCCCAGGCGGCUCCCUCCGGGGCUUGGGCCAGAGCUAUGGGCGUCCCCCUGGGGCAGCGGCUUUGGGAGCUCCCUCCCAGAGGGCCCGUCCGGGGGCUUCCUCUCCUCCGCCCGGCGCUCUGAGAGCCCCUCUCCCAGCUCCGCCCACGCCUCAGUCUCGGGGGACCAGGAUUCUCCGCUGCCCCGAAGGCCUGUGGGGAUCACGAGGCCCCAGAUUUGGGGGUGACGUCGCCAGUCUCGAUGCCAGAGCCCCGGCUCCUCCUCUACAAUAAACCUCGUCUGCACCGUGACCUAUAUUUGGGGAAGAGCGGGGCGGGGGGGCUCUGCUCCUCAGCCCAGGACUCCGGGACCACCCGGCAUCACAAGCACCUCGGAGCCGGCGAGUCACCGCGGCGCCUGCCCUGCCUUCGGAGGGUCGGCCCUGGAUUGGCGGGGGUGGGGGGAUAACCUGGAUCUGCCCCUCCUCCAGCGGCGGCACCCGGAGCCUCGGCAGCAGGGCAGCCCCGACCUGGGCCGGGAGUGGAGGCCGGCGGGGAACGUCUCCUUUGACAGAGGAGGAGCCGGGGUCGGAUCUCCCGAGAGCCCCCGGGGCCAGCGAACAAGCCCGGGCCCUCUGCCCUCCAUCCACCUCCUGCCCACAUGUCUCCGAGGUUCCCCCCAGAGGGGCUUAGGGAGGAGAUCGGGGCGGCCAAGAAGAGGGAUGCAGAAGCCGGGACCAGAAGGGAUCACGGCCGGGUCUUCUCCAGAGACUCUGCUUGGGCAGGGCAAGGCCGGGGACAGCCACGUCCUCGGGAGGGCAAGAGCUGCUCCUUUGGGGCCUUGUACCUGGAACCAGCGCCUGGGACCGGCCAUCAAGGGGCUGAAGCCGCCGGGCUCUGGGGCCCAGGAGACAUUCCGUGCCCUUCUCCAAGCCGAGUGUGCCCACGUUGUUACAGCCAACAAGAAGGGGGGCUGCCACAUCCCUCGCAGUGUUCCAGACAAAAGCCUCGGACCCUCUAAGGUGCAUCCCAGAAGAGUGCCCGAGCUACCCAGGGAGGAAGGGGAGCAGCCAGCUGGGCCCGAGAAAGCAGUGGGAGAUGGGCACCUCCCCAGGGGCUCCCAGCGUGAAGGAAAAAGAUCUGCCCAAGCUCUGCCCGCCCGGCCCACAUGUACAGAGCAGAGACCUGGCGCCGGUCUCCGGCUCUGAGGCUGAGCGCACACAUCACAGCUCUGGGAGGGCCCCCCUGCCAUCAUCUUGAGUGGAACUGCCCCCUCUCGUGCCAUGGCUUCCCUUAUCCCGCUGCCGCCCCUUCCCCCCCCCCCCCGCCUCUGGGUAAGUCUGGGUCGUCUCCACCUCCUGCCCCUUCCGUCCUCCCAUGCAGCAGCAGGCAGGCUAGAAGGAGCUGGGCCCCUGGGUCACUCCCAGUCCAUGGGAUAGGGCGGGAUAGCAAAAAUGCGGCUCUUUUAACUAUCCCUUUUUACUCCUCAAGCCCCAGCCCCUCCUCCUCCUCCACUAAAAAAAGAAUCAGAAGCAUCUUUUUGGGUGUGGAGGAGGUGGGGAGAACACAUCUGGAAAUGGGGGUGCUAAAGACACCUGGGAGAGCUUUCAGGAAUGAGAGUGAGCAAAGGCCACGGCCCGUGAGUUCUCCCGCCUCUUUCCUCCUCCCCACCUCCCUGCCCUCUCUCCUCCUUCACCCGGGGCUCCAAGACCCCAGGCUGUCCCCUUUGCGGAGCCCCCCCCCCAUCCCUCCCUUGAUCUUCCCUCUUUCCCUGUUUCCUCUCUGCCGGCUCGUUCCCUGCCGCCUGCCAACAUGGGACGGGACUGGCCUCCCUGAAAGGUUCCCCGAGCCCAGCGCCUCCUCGCGCUGGCCAUCCCACCGCCAGACCCCAGGGAGGCUCCUGGCCGCUCCUUCUGCUUGUUCUUCUUCUCCAGUCUGGCUUCUGAUCCUCCCUCAGCUGGAACUGUCCCCCCCCCCCCACGGGGGCCUCGAAGGCCUGGGGCUGCCCGGCCCGGGCCCACACACUCCAAGGGCCACCAUCUUACCCGCGGUCUGCUGCCCCCCUCAGUGCCGCGCCGAGAGCACGCUUCCCCUUGGUUCUCGCCAUGAUUGUUCCUGCUAAUCGGGUCCCUCCUUUCCAGAGACGCUGGAUUGCCCCGUGGCCUGGGGGUUCCCAGCUGUCCCCGCUUUUCUGGCCUGGAGAUCUGACUCGCUGCCAACACUGUCUGCUCCUUCUGAGCCCAUCUCCCGGUCCCCGGGCUUGGAUGUUUCCCCGGCGACCAGUAGGCGGCUCAGCCUAGGCCGGUCCCGAGCGGAGCUCAGCAUCUCCCCCUUGACCCUGCCCUCCUUGUUUUCUUAGCUUCGAGGCUUCUCUGGCUCUCCCUUCUCCCUCCUCCCUCCUCCCUCCUCUCCUGUUUGUCCUUGCCCGCUCUCUUCACACGAACCCUUGAGGCUCUGUCAUUUUGUGCCCCCUGCUGCCCGCGCCUCCGAGCCCCAGGGGAGCGGCUGCCCCCGAGGGCAGAGGCCCUUGGGCUUGUCCGGUGGCUUAGGGCGACGCCACUGGGGGCUUCUAAGUCUGGCUUUGUCCAACGGUGUCAGAUCGGACCGAGUCAUUCCACCGAACCCCAAGAAUAAGCCGAGAUUUCGUGGGUUAAAACCGAGGCCCAGAGUGAGUGGGGGAGGAGCCCACGGGACAAAAGGCCGAUUCCUAUUCAGUCAGAUGGGAGAAUGGCUCCAAGCGCACCUGGCAACCCCCCCCCCCCGGCCCCUCGUUAGGGUAGUUCCCCAGAAGCCCUGGUUGGCCCAGGUUUUGUUUUUGAUUUGUCGCAGACCCGGGGCUUCGAGGGGGCGGGAAACUCCCUGAGAGGGAUCCCUGUGCAGACACAGCUCCCCGUGUUCUUUCUGCAACCUGGGAGGGAGGAGACUUUGCCGUCGGAUUCUCGUACCUUUAGAAAGCUCCUCAUUGAGCCCUCGGGCGUCCUGCAGCCGGUGAGUGACGGCCGGGAGUGGGGAGGGAGCCCAGUCCUGCUCCCCCCACCCGGGGGCUUUGCCCCCCAGCCCGGACGUCCCGCUCAUUGGGCCUGAGCAGCACCGAGAUGGGCAGAAGGUUUGGCCCUCAUCCCACCAGACCCUCCCAAAGCCCGGGCGGUUGGGGCUUGAGCAGAAGCCGCUGGACGUUGUGACUCCUCCAGCCAGUGAGGGGCGGAGGUGGCCUGUGGGCCCACGGCCCCUUCUGCUCGGCCUUUUGCAGCGGCGCCAUCCGGCUGUCCCGGCUCCGUCAGCCACCCUUAAAGGCCGGGCCGUGGCCGCGCCCAGGGCUGAACCCGUGGGCCCACCUUCAGAAUUCAAGCUCAAACAAAACCGUGGCUCAGCCUCUGAAGGGAGCUGCUCUGUUGCAGUUCUUUAGAUGGCAGAAGCCAAAAGAAAAUGUACAGAUUCGUGUGAGCCGUGCUCCCUGGUGGCGUCCCUCGCCCCCAGCCCAGGCGGACCCUGAAGGCUCUUCAACUGGACCGAGACUGAGCUCUGCCCGUCAGAGGCUGCCCCCUGCCCAGCCCCCCCAGAGACCCCAGCCCCCCUCACCCCGAGGCUCCCGUUCUCCAGGAAAAGCUCUCCCAGGAGGGGAACCAGCCAGUUGGCAUAUUUUAAAAUACCACACCACAAACCCUAAGUAGAGCCGCCCCCCAGAGCCCAUGUUGUGCGGGGCACCUCACACAGCAUCCCUGCCUCGAGGAAGAGCGUCGCCCCCCCACCCAUAUUCAGACUCCUGAUCCCUGACCUGGUAGCGUGGGGCCUCUCUUUAUACCAUCAAGUAAUUCCCGCCUUUCACUGUCCCGCCUUCUCACAUCCCUGCCUGCCUUGGGUCUCCCGGACCCCCGCGUCUAUUAAAAGUAAGUCCAAGAUCUUAUCUCCUUUUCGGCUCCGACGGUCUCAGAACCUGCUAACUCAGAGUGAGUUUUGGGGGACCCCUCGAAUCCCCCAAGUUCCCAAUUUCGGUGGAAAAUGUUGCCGAGCAGCGGCCUGUGCUGCUGGGUCCGGUGAGCCCCUCGUGUCCUCAGGCCUUUCGUUCAUCUCAUUGAUUAGCUGGUAUCUGCGGAGCUGCUCCCUCCUUGCCCUCUUGCUCAGUCGUGAAGGACCAGGCUGUGUGAGCCUCACUCCUCUGCCUACAACCCUCCCGAGCCCCUCAGAGCCGAAGCCCUUAACCUUUUGUGUCCUCCUGGUGAAGCUCAUGGACCCUUCCUCGGUUUCAUGUUUUUAAAGGAAUAAAAUAGAAAACAUGGAAUUAUAAAGAAAAAAACCACCGUACUGAAAUAAUGAUCGAGUUACUUAAUAUCAAAAUAUUAAAUCCCAGUUCCAGCUCUGGAGUUUGUGCCCAGAGACCUUUGGUGAACCUCGAUUUCUGUCUCUAAAGCUUGAUUUCCCAGGGCUUCAUUCAAAAAGCCUCAUGAGGUUCAAGGUCCCUCUCCCCCAUUCUGGCUUCCAUCAACCGACCUUCCCAAACCUCCUUGCUGAGCAUUCCCUUUCCACUGUCUUGUUUCUUGAACCAGAUGUUACCUUUCUCACCUCCAUGAAUUAGCAACAAGCUCUUCCCCCUAGACCUGCAAUACAAAUCAUUUCCCCCAAAGUUUACUUUUAGACUCUACGUGGCUCAGCCACAGAAUCCCCAACACAGUGACAAUUCUUUGCUUGAACUUCGGGGAGAGGACGUUCACUUCCUCCUAAGGAACACGUUGACUCCUCGCAGCUCGUUCUCAGAAAGCUGUUCUUUACGUGGCACCCAGAUGUUCCUAAUUCUGCCCUUUGGGUCCUGAGCAGAGUCCAGCUUGGAUGUCCCAAUCCCAGAGACGGCCCGUCUCCGGAAGCCAAAGUUCAGGCUGGCUUCCAGAUGAGCUCCCCUCCGACCACUGCCUUGCCCACCUCAGACUUGGGAGCUCCGUGGUAAAUGCACAUGUAUUCCAAUGACACUCUGUCUUCUUGGAUCCGGGUCUUGAAGUCACAUCAGACAGCACUGACUUUCCCCUCGCUGAAAAAAACACCCUUAAAACUUAACAACUUUAAAAAAAAAAGUUGUCCUUAUUAGCCUUUUUCUGUCUAAAUGUCAGGCUUCUUGGGAACAAGGAUGGGAACAGAGUAAGAAUUCCGCCUCUCCGCCUUUUCUCUGUUGUCUCCUCAUUGCCUUUCUCUGCCUUGGUUUACCCCUGCUCAGCUGUGUCUUUUAGAACCUUUCACUUCCAUUGAGAUUCAAGUCAGGCGCUACCUCAUACAUGGGGCCUUUCUUGAUCAACCCUCCCCAUUUACUGAUGCAGUCUUCCUGUCUAAAUUAGCUGGGAUUUAAUUUUUUUUUGCCUCUUAUCUCCCAGAGUAGCCUAAGUUUUUGGAGAGCCAGGAGAAUGGUCUGUUUUGGACUUGGUGUCUGUAACCUUCCGUGUGGUAGGGUCCUUCCCAAGUCAUGUUCAGUUUCAUGGCUGAGGAAACUGAGGUCUGGAAAUGUCAAAUAAUUUACCUGUAAAAUAAUUUACAGGUAGCAAGUAACAGACCUGGGAGUCAACCCAAGUCCUCCUGACCCCAAAUCUAGAGUUCUAACCACUUCACCAUCUCUAUGUUGUUGAGUCAUUUGAGUCAAGGCUGACUCUGGGACUCCUGAGGGGGUUUUCUUGGCAGAUACACCCUGAGUGGUUUGCUAUUUCCUUCUCUGGCUCAUUUGACAGAUAAUGAAACUGAGGCAAACCGGAUAAUUGACUUGUCCAGGGUCAUGCAGCUAGUAAGUGACUAAGGCCAGAAUUGAACUCAUGAAGAUGAAUCUUCCUGACUUUUUCUACCAUGGUGCCAUGUAGCUGCCCUACACCAUGUACUCAGGCCUAAAUUCUUUCUGAAUCUCUAAUCCCAGACUUUAGCCUGUUUCCUAGCAUUUCCCCCUCUACUCUGGGUCCCAGUUUUUCCCUCUGUAAACUGAGGAAGGGGAGUGAUCCCAAUGAUCUCCCAGAUCCUGCCCAGUUGCAAUGCCUUUGUCCUUAUGUAUCUUGCCCCCAUCUCCUCCAACUCAACAACCCACAACUUGGUUCAUUAUCUUCCCCUCACCCUCAGCUUCCCUGUUUCCGUUUAAGGCCCUGCCAUCUUCUCAAGCUGGAAAGCUCAAGGUUGUCUCUGAUACUUGUCUCUCCCACAGCAGAUCUAUUGCCACGUCCUAUUGAUCCUACCCCCGUCUCUUUCCCAUCUUUCCCCCUUCUCUCCUAUGUGGCCACCACCUUGGUUUAAUGUUAUUGUAAUAACUGCCUGGGUGGGCUCCCUGCCUCCUGCCUCUCUCACCCAGAACAUCUUCAGCAGCUCCCUAUUGUCUCAAGCGCAGAUCCGAACUCCUCAGUCUGGCUCCCACCUGAGCUUCCAGCCCGACUUCACACCCCCACCUCUCUCACGCUUGGCUUCCAACCAGCCUUGACUCCUAGCUGCUUCCCUGCCUGUGUGUCUCCUCAUCCUUGCCCCUUGGAAUCCUCCUCUCUCCUCAGGACCCGGCCCGGCUGUCACCUUCCCCGGGAAGCCACCCCCGAGUCCUCAGCCGAAAGCAGCCGGGAUCACCCCUUUUCCCACUCCCCUACCCCACCCCCAUCUUGUCUCCUACUUCUGUGUAUGUCAUUUCCCCCAUUAGUCAAGUGAGAUGAUAAAUCCUCGUAUGACCUACCCCGCAGGGUUGUUGUGGGGAAAGCGCUUUGUACACUGAGCACCGGGGAAAUGUGGGAUUGUCAUUAUUAUCUAAUUAUCCCUUGAUGUGCUCUGCUGCGUAAGCUCUUUGAGGACAGUAACUUGUCAUCCUCCCUCUGUAUCACCAGCACAGUGCCCUGCAUACUGUGCCUGCUCACUAAAUGCUGGCUCCAUUUAAUGGGAAAGUGCCAUCUAGGUGGGGGCCAGGGGUGGCCAGGCCUAGUCUCAUCCUUCUUGUAGACUUGCCAGCAUUUGACAGCUCGCCUCCUGGGAUCCCUCUUUUGGCUUCUCUUCUCCCUGCGCAUGGCCUCCUGUGGCCUUUGGUUGGGGGGGUUCAGAUCAUGCGCUGACCUUCCAGGAGGAGAGGGGAAAGAGGCCUGAGCCAGUUCAGCCUCUCUCAGCUGCUCUGUGUCCCCUUGUUCCCUGGAAAGAGCUGUCUGUCUGCCCUGCUCCUUUGGGGGAAAGUGAAUGAGCCCAGGGAGCUUCCUUUUCCAGAAAUGGGCAUUUUCAGCCUUUGUUCCCUGAUUGAAAAGUGAAGGAACUUAAGAGUACCAGCAAAUAAGUGGGACAUUGGGGGGGGGGGGUAUUUUCAUUUUUUUGAGGAGGGAAACCUCUGUUUUUCAUGAAGUUCAAGUGUCCUGUACUUUUUGUAAAAAAAAACAACCUGAUUUAAUCCUUGAAGGGCAAAGAAGAUUGGAGCUCUCUCUCCUCCAGCCCUGGAGGGGGAUAAAGAUUUGGAGCCAGGAGACAGAAAACCGCUGGUAGUGCUUUGGGUUUCCUCUCCCAGAACCUGAGGGUCGUCGCCUCCCUCUAGACAUUUUAUGUGGCCCAGCCGCCCUUGGCAGCAGCUGGUGAAGCAUGUGGGCUCCUGCCCAGAAUCAUGUUUUUAAAUGCGCAAAAUUAAACAUGUGGGAUUAUCAAGGAAAAAAAUGAUACUGAAAUAACCGCGAUCAAAAGGGUUUUGGGAGAGGAGGGCAGGGGAAAGGAAGUUUGUUCUAGUUCGUGGACCCCUUAGAAUGUUAAAAUUAACAUGUUCUGACCCCUUUCCUGCCUGAGCACACAGACAUGCUUUUCCUGUUUCCCUAGUUCCUGAUCCGGUCUUUGCUUUCUCUCCCCCAAAAGAUCCCAGAACACAUUUUCCAGCCUGAGUUGGGGGGGAUCAAAGCCUCUCCGUAGGUGAGCUUCAGGACCCUGAAUUCCCACUGCUCGCAGUCCUCAGGUAGCCAGGACACUUCAAGGUCAAAGGUCAAAGGCUGAAUGGCCUGAGGAAAAGGGGAGGGGGCUUAGAAAAUGUCAGAACCAUUAUUUGAGCCCUAAGCUCAGACUCCCAGUCUGUAUUUCCCAGUUGCCUUCCUUUUUAUCUAGGAUAUUACUAAGGGAUUCUUCAGUUUAACUCUUGAAUUCAGCUCCUGUUACGGUGCAAAGGAUUAUGUAGGCAUUAGAUUCUCACACAGAAGUAGCUCCGAGGAACAGAUGGAGAGCCUUGGGUCCGGGUCUGGGGGAGGGAGCCACAGUCAUGUGCAGGCCCCCCGGAAGCCCGUGCCUGGGCUGACAUUUGAAGUCUUCCAGUCGCUGGCUGAUGAGGGCUGUUCCCCAUAAGCCACCCUCCCUGCCUUCUCACAAGUGGCCCCCCAUACCCCUCCCUUCAAACCACAACGCAGACACUGUCUCCCAGCUGGAGCCUUUCCUGGUCCCUCCAAUUAUCAGCACUCCCUCCCUCUUGAAAUUACCUUGUAUGAACAUUAUGUGUACUUGUGUAUGUGUCGUGCCCCUCCCCUGCCCCAGAAUGGAAGCUCCUUGAGGGCAGAUACUUGCAUUUCUUUGUCUUUGUAUCCUGAACACAUUGUGUUCUAAGACAAUUCCUGGUACAUAGUUGGUGUUUAAUAAAUGUUGA